GGGUUGUGAGGUUAAGCGACUAAGCGUACACGGUGGAUGCCCUGGCAGUCAGAGGCGAUGAAGGACGUGCUAAUCUGCGAAAAGCGUCGGUAAGGUGAUAUGAACCGUUAUAACCGGCGAUGUCCGAAUGGGGAAACCCAGUGUGAUUCGUCACACUAUCGUUAACUGAAUACAUAGGUUAACGAGGCGAACCGGGGGAACUGAAACAUCUAAGUACCCCGAGGAAAAGAAAUCAACCGAGAUUCCCCCAGUAGCGGCGAGCGAACGGGGAGCAGCCCAGAGUCUGAAUCAGCUUGUGUGUUAGUGGAACGGUCUGGAAAGUCCGACGGUACAGGGUGAUAGUCCCGUACACCAAAAUGCACAGGCUGUGAACUCGAAGAGUAGGGCGGGACACGUGGUAUCCUGUCUGAAUAUGGGGGGACCAUCCUCCAAGGCUAAAUACUCCUGACUGACCGAUAGUGAACCAGUACCGUGAGGGAAAGGCGAAAAGAACCCCGGCGAGGGGAGUGAAAAAGAACCUGAAACCGUGUACGUACAAGCAGUGGGAGCACCUUCGGGUGUGACUGCGUACCUUUUGUAUAAUGGGUCAGCGACUUAUAUUCUGUAGCAAGGUUAACCGUAUAGGGGAGCCGCAGGGAAACCGAGUCUUAACUGGGCGUUAAGUUGCAGGGUAUAGACCCGAAACCCGGUGAUCUAGCCAUGGGCAGGUUGAAGGUUGGGUAACACUAACUGGAGGACCGAACCGACUAAUGUUGAAAAAUUAGCGGAUGACUUGUGGCUGGGGGUGAAAGGCCAAUCAAACCGGGAGAUAGCUGGUUCUCCCCGAAAGCUAUUUAGGUAGCGCCUCGUGAACUCAUCUUCGGGGGUAGAGCACUGUUUCGGCUAGGGGGUCAUCCCGACUUACCAACCCGAUGCAAACUACGAAUACCGAAGAAUGUUAUCACGGGAGACACACGGCGGGUGCUAACGUCCGUCGUGAAGAGGGAAACAACCCAGACCGCCAGCUAAGGUCCCAAAGUCAUGGUUAAGUGGGAAACGAUGUGGGAAGGCACAGACAGCCAGGAUGUUGGCUUAGAAGCAGCCAUCAUUUAAAGAAAGCGUAAUAGCUCACUGGUCGAGUCGGCCUGCGCGGAAGAUGUAACGGGGCUAAACCAUGCACCGAAGCUGCGGCAGCGACACUAUGUGUUGUUGGGUAGGGGAGCGUUCUGUAAGCCUGCGAAGGUGACCUGUGAGGGUUGCUGGAGGUAUCAGAAGUGCGAAUGCUGACAUAAGUAACGAUAAAGCGGGUGAAAAGCCCGCUCGCCGGAAGACCAAGGGUUCCUGUCCAACGUUAAUCGGGGCAGGGUGAGUCGACCCCUAAGGCGAGGCCGAAAGGCGUAGUCGAUGGGAAACAGGUUAAUAUUCCUGUACUUGGUGUUACUGCGAAGGGGGGACGGAGAAGGCUAUGUUAGCCGGGCGACGGUUGUCCCGGUUUAAGCAUGUAGGCUGAUUGUCCAGGCAAAUCCGGAUAAUCAAGGCUGAGGUGUGAUGACGAGGCACUACGGUGCUGAAGUAACAAAUGCCCUGCUUCCAGGAAAAGCCUCUAAGCAUCAGGUAACAUCAAAUCGUACCCCAAACCGACACAGGUGGUCAGGUAGAGAAUACCAAGGCGCUUGAGAGAACUCGGGUGAAGGAACUAGGCAAAAUGGUGCCGUAACUUCGGGAGAAGGCACGCUGGUGUGUAGGUGAAGCCCCUGCGGGUGGAGCUGAGACCAGUCGAAGAUACCAGCUGGCUGCAACUGUUUAUUAAAAACACAGCACUGUGCAAACACGAAAGUGGACGUAUACGGUGUGACGCCUGCCCGGUGCCGGAAGGUUAAUUGAUGGGGUUAUCCGUAAGGAGAAGCUCUUGAUCGAAGCCCCGGUAAACGGCGGCCGUAACUAUAACGGUCCUAAGGUAGCGAAAUUCCUUGUCGGGUAAGUUCCGACCUGCACGAAUGGCGUAAUGAUGGCCAGGCUGUCUCCACCCGAGACUCAGUGAAAUUGAACUCGCUGUGAAGAUGCAGUGUACCCGCGGCAAGACGGAAAGACCCCGUGAACCUUUACUAUAGCUUGACACUGAACAUUGAGCCUUGAUGUGUAGGAUAGGUGGGAGGCUUUGAAGCGUGGACGCCAGUCUGCGUGGAGCCAACCUUGAAAUACCACCCUUUAAUGUUUGAUGUUCUAACGUUGGCCCCUGACCGGGGUUGCGGACAGUGUCUGGUGGGUAGUUUGACUGGGGCGGUCUCCUCCCAAAGCGUAACGGAGGAGCACGAAGGUUAGCUAAUCCUGGUCGGACAUCAGGAGGUUAGUGCAAUGGCAUAAGCUAGCUUGACUGCGAGCGUGACGGCGCGAGCAGGUGCGAAAGCAGGUCAUAGUGAUCCGGUGGUUCUGAAUGGAAGGGCCAUCGCUCAACGGAUAAAAGGUACUCCGGGGAUAACAGGCUGAUACCGCCCAAGAGUUCAUAUCGACGGCGGUGUUUGGCACCUCGAUGUCGGCUCAUCACAUCCUGGGGCUGAAGUAGGUCCCAAGGGUAUGGCUGUUCGCCAUUUAAAGUGGUACGCGAGCUGGGUUUAGAACGUCGUGAGACAGUUCGGUCCCUAUCUGCCGUGGGCGCUGGAGAAUUGAGGGGGGCUGCUCCUAGUACGAGAGGACCGGAGUGGACGCAUCACUGGUGUUCGGGUUGUCAUGCCAAUGGCACUGCCCGGUAGCUAAAUGCGGAAGAGAUAAGUGCUGAAAGCAUCUAAGCACGAAACUUGCCCCGAGAUGAGUUCUCCCUGAGACUUUAAGUCUCCUGAAGGAACGUUGAAGACGACGACGUUGAUAGGCCGGGUGUGUAAGCGCAGCGAUGCGUUGAGCUAACCGGUACUAAUGAACCGUGAGGCUUAACCUUACAACGCCGAAG
rnacentral:rRNA from 1 species